rnacentral:rRNA from 1 species
CAGCCGCCGCGGUAAUACAGAGGGUGCGAGCGUUAAUCGGAUUUACUGGGCGUAAAGCGUGCGUAGGCGGCUUCUUAAGUCGGAUGUGAAAUCCCUGAGCUUAACUUAGGAAUUGCAUUCGAUACUGGGAAGCUAGAGUAUGGGAGAGGAUGGUAGAAUUCCAGGUGUAGCGGUGAAAUGCGUAGAGAUCUGGAGGAAUACCGAUGGCGAAGGCAGCCAUCUGGCCUAAUACUGACGCUGAGGUACGAAAGCAUGGGGAGCAAACAGGAUUAGAUACCCCAGUAGUCCCUGUCUCUUAUCC